ensembl:lncRNA
AUGGUGGACGGGUUUACUGCAGUGUGUGUGUGGUGCCGCCCUCUGCUGGUGGACGGGUUUACUGCAAUGUCUGUAUGUGUGGUACCGCCCCCUGCUGGUGGCCGAGUUUACUGCUGUGUGUGUGAUGCCGCCCCCUGCUGGUGGACGGCUUUACUGCAGUGUGUGUGUGUGGUGCCACCCUCUGCUGGUGGACGGGUUUACUGCAGUGUGUGUGUGGUGCCGCCCUGUGCUGGUGGACGGGUUUACUGCAGUGUUUGUGUGUGGUACCGUCCUCUGCUGCUGGACGGGUUUACUGCAGUGUGUGUGUGUGUGUGGUGCUGCCCUCUGCUGGUGGACGGGUUUACUGCAGUGUGUGUGUGGUGCCGCCCUCUGCUGGUGGACGGGUUUACUGCAAUGUGUGUGUGUGUGGUACCGCCCCCUGCUGGUGGCCGAGUUUACUGCUGUGUGUGUGAUGCCGCCCCCUGCUGGUUGACGGCUUUACUGCAGUGUGUGUGUGUGGUGCCGCCCUCUGCUGGUGGACGGGUUUACUGCAGUGUGUGUGUGGUGCCGCCCUGUGCUGGUGGACGGGUAUACUGCAAUGUGUGUGUGUGUGGUGCCGCCCCCUGCUGGUGGACGGGUUUACUGCAGUGUGUGUGUGGUGCCGCCCUCUGCUGGUGGACGGGUUUACUGCAAUGUGUGUGUGUGUGGUACCGCCCCCUGCUGGUGGCCGGGUUUACUGCUGUGUGUGUGAUGCCGCCCCCUGCUGGUGGACGGCUUUACUGCAGUGUGUGUGUGUGGUGCCGCCCUCUGCUGGUGGACGGGUUUACUGCAGUGUGUGUGUGGUGCCGCCCUGUGCUGGUGGACGGGUACACUGCAAUGUGUGUGUGUGUGGUGCCGCCCCCUGCUGGUGGACGGGUUUACUGUAGUGUGUGUGGUGCCGCCCUCUGCUGGUGGAUGGGUUUACUGCAGUGUGUGUGUGGUGCCGCCCUCUGCUGGUGGACGGGUUUACUGCAAUGUGUGUGUGUGUGGUACCGCCCCCUGCUGGUGGCCGGGUUUACUGCUGUGUGUGUGAUGCCGCCCCCUGCUGGUGGACGGGUUUACUGCAGUGUGUGUGUGUGUGGUGGCGCCCCCUGCUGGUGGACGGGUUUACUGCAGUGUGUGUGUGUGUAUGGUGCCGCCCUCUGCUGGUGGACAGGUUUACUGCAGUGUGUAUGUGUGUGGUGCCGCCCCCUGCUGGUGGAAGGGUUUACUGCAGUGUGUAUGUGGUGCCGCCCCUGCUGGUGGACGGGUUUACUGCAGUGUGUGUGUGUGUGGUGCCGCCCCCUGCUAGUGGACGGGUUUACUGCAGUGUGUGUGUGUGGUGCCGGCCUCUGCUGGUGGACGGGUUUACUGCAGUGUGUGUGUGUGUGUGGUGCCGCCCUCUGCUGGUGGACGGGUUUACUGCAGUGUGUGUGGGGUGCCGCCCCCAGCUUGUGGACGGGUUUACUGCAGUGUGUGUGUGUGUGGUGCCACCCCCCUGCUGGUGGACGGGUUUACUGCAGUGUGUGUGUGUGUGUGUGUGGUGCCGCCCCCUGCUGGUGGACGGGUUGGACGCGCGUGGACUGCGAGGGCCCGUUCAACGCUGCUUGCGGCUUUAAUUAG